GGGCCUAUAGCUCAGCCGGUAGAGCAACGGACUUUUAAUCCGUGGGUCGACAGUUCGAGCCUGUCUGGGCCCACCA
rnacentral:tRNA from 2 species